GUAGGUGAACCUGCGGAAGGAUCAUUAUUACGUAUCCAACGUAUAAACCAAACGUGAACUGUAUCCGCUCAGAGCUAGAUUCAAUGGCAAUGUCACACUAUGAUCUCCGUGUUAGUGACAGCAGGACUCGUUUCUGCUGGGAGAUUGUGACACUGUCGCUACAAAACCUUGUGUUUUGUGGGUCUCUUUCUCUGUGGCUGGUUUCAAUCACUAACAAUUUAUUAUUAUUAACCCUUUGAACUAUCAAUAG
rnacentral:misc_RNA from 1 species